UACGGAGGAUGCAAGCGUUAUCCGGAAUGAUUAGGCGUAAAGCGUCCGCAGGUGGCUAUGUAAGUCUGCUGUUAAAGAGUGAGGCUCAACCUCAUAAAAGCAGUGGAAACUACAUGGCUAGAGUGCGUUCGGGGCAGAGGGAAUUCCUGGUGUAGCGGUGAAAUGCGUAGAGAUCAGGAAGAACACCGGUGGCGAAAGCGCUCUGCUAGGCCGCAACUGACACUGAGGGACGAAAGCUAGGGGAGCGAAUGGG
rnacentral:rRNA from 1 species